rnacentral:rRNA from 1 species
AUUGAACGCUGGCGGCAGGCUUAACACAUGCAAGUCGAACGAGUGGCGGACGGGCGAGUAAUGCUUGGGAAUCUAGCUAAUGGAGGGGGAUAACUACGGGAAACUGUAGCUAAUACCGCGUACCAUAGGCAGAGCCCAAGUGGGAUUAGGUAGUUGGUGAGGUAAAGGCUCACCAAGCCGACGAUGCCUAGCGGGUCUGAGAGGAUGACCAGCAACACUGGUGCUGUGACAUGGCCCAGAGUCCGGCGGAAGGCAGCAGUGGGGAAUCUGGCGCUAUGGGUGCAACCCUUACGCAGACAUGCCGCGUGAAUGAAAAAGGCCUUAGGGUUGUAAGGUACUGUCGGCGGGAAGGCGUUACGCGCAGAGGGAGCACCGGCUAACUCCGUGCCAGCAGCCGCGGUAAUUC